UACGUAGGGCGCAAGCGUUGUCCGGAAUUAUUGGGCGUAAAGAGCUCGUAGGCGGUUUGUCGCGUCUGCUGUGAAAUCCCGAGGCUCAACCUCGGGCUUGCAGUGGGUACGGGCAGACUAGAGUGCGGUAGGGGAGACUGGAAUUCCUGGUGUAGCGGUGGAAUGCGCAGAUAUCAGGAGGAACACCGAUGGCGAAGGCAGGUCUCUGGGC
rnacentral:rRNA from 1 species